AAAACUGGGUUGAUUUCUGCAGUUGUAGCUCUCACGGUAACCAUAUCCAUUGUGGGUUGAUCAUGGUGGCUGUCAAGACUUCAGGCAUCUUGAUAAUCCACAUUCAUUCUGCCUUUCUUUGUUUUGCCAAUGCCAAUUCCAUCAAAGAAAGGAUAAUGAUGUGGGUGAAUAAGGACGAGCAAGGAAAAGAAGAAGAAGAAAGAAAUGCAAAAGCGAGGAUUCAAGUAUUA